UCUUAGCGGGCCAAGGACUGGAAAUGAACACUGGCGGGGUUAUCAGUGCCGAUCUGUCAGCAGCGAGUCGCGCACUGCUUGUCCCAGGCAGCAGCAGUGAUAUACGUCUUAUUUCUUUGGGCUCACAAAAGGGAUUUCUUUCGACAAGCUGGACAUUGGAAGAAGGCUGCAGGAAGGGAAUUGAACAGGAGAAACACUCUUGUGGGAGUGGAUUCUUACAGGAAUAUCCCAGUCACUGUGGCUUCGGCGUGGCUGCAUUUCUGAAAGUAGAAAACUCUGGAAUGGAGAGACUAGCAGCUGGAACAGGAUUCGAAGGCUUUAAAUUUUAACCCGAGUUCGAUCGAAAGUUACUACCACAAGAGACUGGCACGGGCCGGCCCAAUUCCCACCACGGCUUCCAGCGGCUUGCUUUGGGUUGUCCGGUAAGUUCCAACCAAAAUUUUAAGCGGGUUGGGUUCUGCGAAGUUCAUUUGUAAGCAAUUCAUUAAAGCUUCGGACAUCGCUUUUUCAUUUGAGUCCAAUUUUCCGAAAUAAUGUCUCCAGUUUACUCUUAAAAGCAAUUUUUACAGUUCGUAUUUGCUAAUAAAAUAAUAAAUGACUUGGCUAACUAAAUUUGGCGUCCUGGCUGUGAACGACCUUCAAGGUUGAGGGACAUCGAGCUCCGGCGCGAGCCUAGUUCCAGUCCUGUUGGGGGGGGAGGGUUGGCUUUGUUUUGUUUUGUUGUUCGAGGGGUUAUCCUGUGUACAUUUCCUGGAACAAUAGCAAACCCCUACUGCUAUGCUUUCCCGAAGCUAGGCAUCGAAGACUAGAGAACACACUGACCCUGGCGCCUCUGGGACAGAGGUGAGGAGUUUGACCCACACGAACAGAUUCGACAACAUUCGGACUCUAGCGGCUGGGGAAGAAACCCAUAAUUUUACCAUCCUCAUUCCCAAUCAUUUUAGUAGUGCCUUCAACCACAAGAAAAAAACGAUAGGUCAUUGUUUUUCCUUUCAGGGCUCAAAAUUCACCUUUAAACUUUUUUUUAAAGGCUAGCUUUCUGAAAGAGGAAUAGGUUAGAGAAAUAUUUUUUUUCCAUCUCAGUUAAUGUAAAAAUAAAACCUGUCCGGUUGACUAAGACAAAAACCUAGACUGCCCGCAGACUCUAAUUUGUUCCCCCCUCCCCCCGGACUCACGGACUCUGGCGACACCCCAGCCCAGCAAGCAAAGGCACAUUUCAAAGCCCUCCCCCAUCGGCCUCAGGCUGGACUCUCCAGGGAAAUGGAAGCCAGCAGAAUCCGGGGUGCCGAGGGGAAGGUGGUACACCAACCUAGGGGAACCCCAAAAUGGAGAUGGUCCCCAUCAUGCCCCAAAUAACCCCUGCAAGUUUCUUUCUUAGUGUUUUCCUUUUGUUUUGUUUCUUUCUUUUCAACUCCUUUUCUCUUGUCCCCUCCUGUCUUUCCCAAGCUGGCUUUGCUAGUCUUGACCGGAAUCGUUUUGCUCAGAACCAUUUAGACCCAAAAAACAGGCCCUCCGAACAGAAUCUUCUUCCUAAGCCCUAAAGAAAGCUGACUCUAGGGCAGGACCUGUCCCCCUAUGCUCAUUUAUUUGGUCCGGACCAAACCACCACUUGCCUUUCAAAUCUAGCCGGAACACAGCAGCCAAUAGGGCAGGGGGCGGGGGCUCUGUGGCUAAAACGGAAGAGGUGUUUGGGGACUCGAUGGCGCGCGGCUUCCGGGGGGGCACCACAGACCUGGGCCUGGAUGUAUAUCGCUAUACAUCUUUGGCCUUGCAAACUCAAGCUUAUUACCUGUCAUUUCACGAAGCUUCUACCUGCUCGAACAUCGAUUCAAAAGUGGGGCAAGGGGUGUUGAUACAUACACAUACAAUUUCUGUGUUAAACAUGGUUUGAACUUUAGAUUUAAAAAUAUUACGGUAAAGCUAUAACUCACUGGUGAAUUGCUUAAUGCUCAAGGAUGUGGGUUCGAUUCCCACGCACUAC
ensembl:lincRNA